UUAAGUCCCGCAACGAGCGCAACCCCUAUUGUUAGUUGCCAUCAUUCAGUUGGGCACUCUAGCGAGACUGCCGGUAAUAAACCGGAGGAAGGUGGGGAUGACGUCAAAUCAUCAUGCCCCUUAUGACCUGGGCUACACACGUGCUACAAUGGUUGGUACAACGAGUUGCGAGUCGGUGACGGCGAGCUAAUCUCUUAAAGCCAAUCUCAGUUCGGAUUGUAGGCUGCAACUCGCCUACAUGAAGUCGGAAUCGCUAGUAAUCGCGGAUCAGCACGCCGCGGUCGAAUACGUUCCCGGGCCUU
rnacentral:rRNA from 1 species